AUCUACGGCCAUGUCACCCUGAAUGUGCCCCGUUCUCGUCUGAUCUGGGAAGCUAAGCAGGGGCAGGCCUGGUUAGUACCUGGAUGGGAGACCACCUAGGAAGACCAGGUGCUGUAAGCA
rnacentral:rRNA from 1 species